GAUGAACGCUGGCGGCGUGCCUAAUACAUGCAAGUCGAGCGAACAGAUGAGGAGCUUGCUCCUCUGACGUUAGCGGCGGACGGGUGAGUAACACGUGGAUAACCUACCUAUAAGACUGGGAUAACUUCGGGAAACCGGAGCUAAUACCGGAUAAUAUAUUGAACCGCAUGGUUCAAUAGUGAAAGACGGUUUUGCUGUCACUUAUAGAUGGAUCCGCGCCGCAUUAGCUAGUUGGUAAGGUAACGGCUUACCAAGGCAACGAUGCGUAGCCGACCUGAGAGGGUGAUCGGCCACACUGGAACUGAGACACGGUCCAGACUCCUACGGGAGGCAGCAGUAGGGAAUCUUCCGCAAUGGGCGAAAGCCUGACGGAGCAACGCCGCGUGAGUGAUGAAGGUCUUCGGAUCGUAAAACUCUGUUAUUAGGGAAGAACAAAUGCGUAAGUAACUAUGCACGCCUUGACGGUACCUAAUCAGAAAGCCACGGCUAACUACGUG
rnacentral:rRNA from 1 species